CAAAUUAGUCACAUGUAGGCUGCUUCCAAAUCUUGAGCUUAAGCAAGGCUGGAUGCCACCCAAGCUCCUUCAUGGGGUUCCUCUGCUUCCUCUUCUCUCCCCUCCAGCAUGGCACGCCCACGCGCUAGGGAGCCCAACACACAUCCAGACUGAACUCAAGGGCCCAAACCCGAGCGAAGGGUUCUGUACUUUACAGUCCAGCACAUGCCCCCACAGCGUUACGGAAUUGCUCUUAGUUAAUUCACGACAAGGUAUGGAAAGCUUAUCCUAGGAGCCCUCACCACCCACCCCCUCUUCGCAAAGCUUUUACUUUUACCCAGGAAACUUUCGGGUCAAGCUGCACAGGCACAGGCGCUAAGGGAGUUCCAGAUAGAGAAAUGUCCUGUGUGACGCGCUCCUAGCGCUCCUCACAGAGCUAGAGAGCGAGUGGGAAGAUGGGCAGAAAGAAAGGGAAAUAUGUGCUUGACUCGAGACUCUUCCCUCCAGGUGGGAAUCCAUGCUUCUGAUUUGGGUGGGGCCCCCCCAGAGGGCUACCCCUACUGUUUGCAUGCCUUUAUCAUGAUAAUUAAAUGUUCCGGGCAGAUUCACCUCCGGGAUUCCAAGCAUGACUGUACAUCUUACCUUAUUGAAUGGAAAGCUAUUUUGCAUCUGUUGAGCCCAAUGUGAGCUCUGGGUUCUGCCACAUGCUAUUUAUUUACCAUAUCACAUUUUAAAUUUUUAUGUAAUUAGCCAUUAUGCUCUUCUGGUCCUUAAAAAAAAAAAGGUGGACAUACAUAAAGAACCUAGAGACAAGAAGUAUGUUUUAAAUCUAAUAAUUGUGGGUCCAAACCCCGGCGAAGAGAACAAAUAGGUGAUGUUUAUUUUGUGCUAUAAUAAAGACCAAUUUUCCACC
rnacentral:lncRNA from 1 species